UAGAAACAUUCAUCAGUUGUUUUUGUCGUUUCAGAAACAUAGUGUGUUGUUUAUUAUUCAAAAAAUAUUUAUACGUUUUAUAAAUAAAUUAAUAAUACAGAAAAAGAGUGAAAGUAUUCAAAAAGUGUUGAAUUUAUGAAAAAAAGAUUCUAACAACGGUUGAAUUUAAGUAAUAAAAACGCUUGUUUUUCAGUCAUAACCACAAUCAUAACAAUAUACCAUGGCAGAGCACAGUCAUUUGAACACAGUAAACCGGUUGGCAUCUGUAGAAAGUGUGAGAUGUCAAAUAAGACUAUAUAAGGUUAAAAAAUCUUUCAACGAUACAUAAAAAACAGAUAGGGCUUUGAAUCUUCUGAAAAACAGAGUACUUAAAUCUUCAAAACGAAAAUUAAAUGAACAAACAAGAGAAAAAGCAGUACAUAGUCAAUGCGUGACAAAUUUCAUUCCAACGCCCAAAAAACUUAUCGCAG